rnacentral:rRNA from 1 species
GUAGGGAAUAUUGGACAAUGGGGGCAACCCUGAUCCAGCGACGCCGCGUGAGUGAUGAAGGCCUUCGGGUCGUAAAGCUCUGUUGCAGGGGAAGAACACAAUGACGGUACCCUGCUAGAAAGGAUCGGCUAACUUCGUGCCAGCAGCCGCGGUAAGACGAGGGAUCCUAGCGUUGUUCGGAAUUAUUGGGCGUAAAGCGGGUGCAGGUGGCUUGGUAAGUCAGAUGUGAAAGCCUGGGGCUUAACCCCAGAAGUGCAUUUGAUACUGCUGAGCUUGAGUGCUGGAGAGGCUAUUAGAAUUCCUGGUGUAGUGGUGAAAUACGUAGAUAUCAGGAGGAAUACCGGAGGCGAAGGCGGAUAGCUGGCCAGACACUGACACUCAGACCCGAAAGCGUGGGGAGCAAACAGGAUUAGAAACCCGUGUAGUCC